AUGCAAGUCGAACGGUAAUACGGCUUCGGUCGUAUGAGAGUGGCGAACGGGUGAGUAACACGUAGGUGAUCUACCUUGGUCACGGGGAUAGCCUGUGGAAACACAGAGUAAUACCGGAUACGCCUUAGUGUCUGUGGGUACUAAGGGAAAGGAGCUUAGGCUCCGGUCUGAGAUGAGCCUGCGGUCCAUUAGCUAGUUGGUGAGGUAAAGGCCCACCAAGGCGACGAUGGAUAGCCGGCCUGAGAGGGUGAUCGGCCACACUGGGACUGAGACACGGCCCAGACUCCUACGGGAGGCAGCAGCUAAGAAUCUUCCGCAAUGGGCGAAAGCCUGACGGAGCGACGCCGCGUGAACGAAGAAGGCCGGAAGGUUGUAAAGUUCUUUUCUUGGGGAGGAAUAAGGAGGAGAGGGAAUGCUCCUCUGAUGACGUGAACCGAGGAAUAAGCCCCGGCUAAUUACGUGCCAGCAGCCGCGGUAAUACGUAAGGGGCGAGCGCUGUUCGGAAUCAUUGGGCGUAAAGGGCGUGUAGGCGGUCUAUCAAGUCUGGUGUAAAACAACCCGGCUCAACCGGGGGCCUGCGCUGGAAACUGGUAGACUAGAGUAUAGGAAGGGGAGCUGGAAUUCCUGGUGUAGGGGUGAAAUCUGUAGAUAUCAGGAAGAACACCGGUGGCGAAGGCGAGCUCCUGGCCAUAUACUGACGCUGAGGCGCGAAAGCGUGGGGAGCGAACAGGAUUAGAUACCCUGGUAGUCUACGCUGUAAACGAUGUGCACUAGGUGUUGGUGGGGAGAACUGCCAGUGCCGUAGCAAACGCGUUAAGUGCACCGCCUGGGGAGUAUGCUCGCAAGGGUGAAACUCAAAGGAAUUGACGGGGGCCCGCACAAGCGGUGGAGCAUGUGGUUUAAUUCGACGAUACGCGAGGAACCUUACCAGGGCUUGACAUAUGCAGGGAAUCGCCAGAGAUGGCGGUGCCUUUUCGGAGGCUUGCAUACAGGUGCUGCAUGGCUGUCGUCAGCUCGUGCUGUGAAGUGUUGGGUUAAGUCCCGCAACGAGCGCAACCCCUUUUAUCUGUUGCCAGCACGUAAAGGUGGGGACUCAGAUGUACUGCCGGUGACAAACCGGAGGAAGGUGGGGACGACGUCAAGUCAUCAUGGCCCUUAUGUCCUGGGCUACACACGUGCUACAAUGGUCGGUACAGAGUGAAGCGAGACCGCGAGGUGGAGCAAAUCACAGAAAGCCGAUCUCAGUACGAAUUGAAGUCUGAAACUCGACUUCAUGAAGGUGGAAUCGCUAGUAAUCGCGCAUCAGCAUGGCGCGGCGAAUACGUUCCCGGGCCUUGUACACACCGCCCGUCACACCACCCGAGUUGGGGGUACCCGAAGUCGCCAGUCUAACCGUCAAGGGGGACGGCGCCGAAGGUAUGCCUGGUAAGGGGGGGUGAAGUCGUAACAAGGUA
rnacentral:rRNA from 1 species